rnacentral:rRNA from 1 species
UACGAAGGGUGCAAGCGUUACUCGGAAUUACUGGGCGUAAAGGGUGCGUAGGUGGUUGUUUAAGUCUGCUGUGAAAGCCCCGGGCUCAACCUGGGAAUGGCAGUGGAUACUGGACAGCUAGAGUGCGGUAGAGGGUAGUGGAAUUCCCGGUGUAGCAGUGAAAUGCGUAGAGAUCGGGAGGAACACCAGUGGCGAAGGCGGCUACCUGGACCAGCACUGACACUGAAGCACGAAAGCGUGGGGAG